GCAAUCCUCCCACCUCGGCCUCCCAAAGUGCUGGGAUUACAAGUAUGAGCCCCUGCACCCAGCCAUGAAAACCUAUUGCCUUUUCUUUACUUUUGUUCUAAGACUUGCUAUGGCAAAAGUACUACAGGUAAUGGAAAGGAAUUCCAAUGUUCCAGCUUAUCAUGGGAGUAAUUGCAAACUCUAGGUAGAAUUUGUCUGUGGAAAGGAAGUUCUAGACCUGCUCGGCUAGUAAGUACCUGUGUAAACUUGGGCUAAUCACUUCUGGGUCUCAAUUGAAUUAAACCUAUGAUUUAAAGGGGUUGGACAUGAAAAUGCACUGCUCCAUUAUCUCAAACAGGAAAUUGACUUGGUUCCUCAUAUAAUUUACAAGAGCCACACACUUCAGUGCAACUUUUGUCUCCAAAACCCCACACAUGCAAAAGAUAAUCUAUCUCCCAGCAUACUGAGGAUUUUGGCACCUGUAUCAACUGCCUUAAAAUAAUGUUACUGAUUGAAUAUGCAUACUGAAAGUUAUAUAAACAUCAUUAAAACUGAACAAAGGAGGCUUUCCCUCAUCGGUUGAACAGAUUCUUUCUGUUUGAUAGUUAUUUACAAGAUUUCUCCCUAUUGUCUCAUGCUUUGCACUUGGCUGCCUUAAGAUAAAAUUACAUGUCUGCUGAUGGGCACAUUGAGAAUCAAAAAGGACCAGGAAUUGGAAAACUACUGUGUGCCAAGAGCUGACCUUUGUUCUGCAGCUGAACAAUGAGUGUGUGUGUGUGUGUGAGAGUGUGUGUGUGUGUGUGUGUGUGAAAUCCUGUAAACAAAAUUUCCUCCAGAGGGUAAAAAAUGCUUGCCAAGCAAACAUCUCAAGUUGAGAAUGACAUGACAACUCUUUUUUGAGAGCUAAGCACUGCCUGGGGCUUUUGCCUUCAGAGACCACAUCUGUUCUUGCGUGGUGGUGCAUGUUGGCUUUGGAAUACCAAGGCUACAUAAUUUUAAAAUCAAGUGGUACUUGUGGUAUUUGGCCACUCAGAGCAAAGUAUAACACUCUUUUAAAGUGGUUUGGAUCCCAGGGUUGGGAAGAACGUCAUGUUCUGCUGUAAGAAAUCUCACCAAGGAGACACCAAGGAGACUCACCAAAGGAAUGUCAGCUACUUCUCAAGAUUCCCCUCUUCCACAGGUGCCAGACACUUGGAGUCUUCCCUCUUUUUCAAAGGCUUCAGUGGAAGUACUUUGGGGCUGCUGGCUGCUUCCCUGAAGGAACAAUCAGCGUGUGUGAAUAAAUUCACACUCCAAAGAUAGUGGGUGUGAACACAGGCGUUUCAGAAUAUAAGAAUGUAUUAACUGAAGCAUUAGGUCAUGGUUGCUGGGGUUUGACCUGGAAAUGGAAGAGAACAAUCUCUCUGAACAUCCUAAAGCAAGUUUGCUCCUUAUGCAGGCCAGAAUAUGGCAAGAAAAUAAUGAGCCUGUCAAGAUUAUUUUGUGUAAUUGGUCUCAUGACAUCAUGGCUGUACAUGAAGGCUCCCUGAUUGAAACUUGAAGAAAAAUAAGUAUAUUUACUCAGAGAGGACAUUAAAGUUGGAUUUUUCAAGUGCAAUGUGUUUAUAUUAAUAAAUACUGCUGCUAAUUUCAUGAGACUGACCGUUCCUUUAUUCCAGCGCUAACUAAGUCUUUCAUCAUCGGGACUCCAGAAACAGAGUGAGUCUCGACAAAGCUAGUUGAUCCAUUUCCUUUUACAAAAGAUGUUAUGGCCCAUAUGAAAUUCAGUUCUAAAAAUGGCCUAGAAAGGAACACUCGCAGCCCCAACAGAAAUGAAAUAGCAAAGCUGGGGAAGCAGCCUGAUUGACUUGGCCUUGGCCUUACCUCCUAGGGGUGCCUCCUACAGAGCCUGGGGCUGCUGGGGAAUCCAAGGGCCUCUGCAACAAGGCGGAUGCUCAGAUCCAGGGUGUCACACACAAAAAAAGAACAGAUGACAGGGGCUACUGGGGAAGGCCAGGGUUUAGUUAAUGGAUUCAUGGGUUGAAUAAUAAAAUUGUCUAUUUGGCAGUUGGCAAAGAGAGAAUAUUUAACUGAAAAGUUUCCUUCAGGGCUUCAGUGCUUGAGCAGCCAUUUUCAAGGCUGAUAGAAUAUGCAUGUCCGUACAUUGCAGGCUCAAGUACAAAGAUUUGAUAUUAAAUAUGGAGCGCCAGAACUGAAGAAUCCCUUUUUGCAUGACCUUUCGUGGCGACUGGAAGAAACGGGUAUACUCUGCAGAGGUGGGAGAUUGUAGCAGCUCCACAAAACCGCAUGAAAGCAGAUAUUCAGUCACUUGGCUGGAAUGCAGCUCCACACAGCUGGCCUGGCGCCGUGCCCCACAGCAUCUGAAGUCUAUCUGUACACUGGUGUUUCCCUACAAAAGGGGCUUCUCUUUUCAACUACAAGUAUCCCCGAGAGGCUACCAUCAUGCACCCCUUGGUUUGAAUUCUUUCAUUCCCAUGCUUUCCUCCUAACCCCCACUGGUAGGAAGGUCCUUAGACAGAGGACCUGUGAUGGGUUGAGGAGGUAGAAUUCGCUGGGGGCAUUUGCAGCUUGGAGCAUUACCCAAGCAGAGGACCCAGACCUGGGACACAACAUGAGGGCAGGAGACAUGGGCACCUCGGGUGACAUUCUUGCCUGGGGCAUAUAUUCUGCUGUCAGGCCUCCUGAGAGCACUCACUGAAGGCUGUGUUGGGUUUGAAUGGCAGUGCCUUGGUGCUCCUUGGUCUUGUUUCUGCAGAGACACCCGGUUUUCCAUUUGUGGUUUUGCCUCCAUCUUAUGGACGUGCUCUGCCUUUCUGACCUCUGGAUUACAGAGGCAGGCGCAGCAUGCAUGUUAGGGAGGUAAUUUCCUAGCUGUGAUGAAAGGCCUCUGGCUCAGAGGAAAAGCAAGGCCUUUGAAAUUGGACAUCUACUCCACAGCCUCUGGGUCAUUAUUUGAUAAUGUGAACAAAUCAGAUUUUUUUUUUAAAUUUCUAAUUCGGUUUGCAAGAGAACUCUUGCCUUUACUGUGGGCCUUUAGGGAAACAAUUUAUACCACCAAGAGGCCACUACACUUCUCAGGAGCCACUUCUCUUUCCUUGCAGAAGCAGGGCCUGGGUCAUGCCCCACUGUUCGGCACAAGACGUGAGGAAGUUCCUGUGGAAAGAGCGUUGGAAUUCCUGAGCUCCAGCCGGAGGCAGAAGGCUGAGAUGCAGGCUCCUGCUCCCCACAUUCAUGCCCAUCAGCAAGCCAUGCCAUAUCCAGCAGACAGACAGCCGUUCAGUGCACAGAAUACCCCUCCAGGCCAGCAGCAGCUGUCACCCCUCUUCAGUCAUCUGCUCUUCAGAUACUUCUGUGGACAGAGCCCAGAUAACUUGAUUAAGGUAAGAUGAAAUGAGAAACAUUUGCUCCUUUAAAAUCGCUAACAUCUGUCCUGGCUAGCAGAACGGCUCUUUGUAACUGAGGAAAGAAAAUCCCUGAGAAGUCUGGGUGUGGGAACGAUGGCGCUCCCUGUGCACCCACCUCCCACCUGCCUGCCCCUGGGAGCCUGCAGGGAAGACAAGGCAUUGCUGUACAAGGACCUGGACUUGAGUCUUGACUCCACCAAGACUCUAUGUGCCCUUGAGGCAGGUGGUGACCUCUCUGGGCUUCAGUUCCCUCGCAGGUUUGCCGGGAGGAGGAGCUAGAGGAUGUGAGAGGUGCAGAAGACAUGAGGCGAUGCUCCAUUUGCCCCUGCAAAAACCUCCUUCCUUCCUGUGAGCUCAGAAGGAAGAGAGUGAAACCACCGGCACAUACCCACAGCUUGACCUUAUGGAGGUGGCCUCAGUGGGUGGGGAUGGGUCUGGCUUUAGUGUCUGGUCAAGUGAAUACAUGACUUUCAAGAACUGUGCACAGGGAGGUGUUUGGCAGGUGGACCCAGGGCUGGCCCCAGAGAGAGACCACUGUGAUGCCACUUCAUAGCUGAUGACAUGAGGCCGAGAGGCAUCUGAAGAUAUGACAAUUACUCAUUGCCUGUCCAAGUCAGCGAGGACACAGGGAAGGAGCCAGGGAUGGCGGUUCUGGCAUCUCCCACGUCUACAAGAUGGCAUCACCUAACACGGCCACAGCUUUCCCACUUCUGUGCAGGCUCCAGACUGGGUCCCUAUGGUGGAUUAAUGAUGGCCACAAUUCCUUGUCAUUCUCCCAUCAAGAGGUGGAAUUUCCUUCCCUCCCAUGGACCUGAGCUGGCCACAACAGCUUAACCAAGGGAAGGAGGAAGAAGUGACGCUGGGCCAGCUUCUGGCUAAGUGUUAAGAAGGCUUCUGCUUCUGCACUUUGAGGAGCCCUGAGCCUCCAUGUGAGAAGUCCCCAGCUCCCUUCACCAGAAAGGCUGCGUGGAGACACCUCAUAGAGAGGCCACAUAGGGAGCCAAGGCCUUGAGACGAUGUGGAGAGGCAGCUGUUCUGGGCCCCUGGGAGAGUGUCCAGGGGACUCCAGCCCAGGCACCUUCUGCCUGCAACCUCCCAAGAGACCCCAAGUGAGACCAGCCAACAAUCACCCAACUGAGCCUAGUCAACCUGAGGAACCAUGGCAGGGAAUAAGCACUUGCUGUUCCAAGCUGUUAAGUUCGGGGUGGUUUAUUACACAGCAGUGGAUCGGUAAGACCUCUCCAUUACUGUCUUUAGGUAACUUUCUGCUGCCUUCAUCUACGAGCCGGGCCCCAGAAAUCGGAAAUGCCCCUGCAUCAGGGUCCCUGUAGGGCAUCUCCACAGCAUCCCUUGUGGUACACGUGUCUUCAGGUCACCUCCGACUUUUGUGUGUCACACAAUAUUCAAGUGUAGAGGAUGCAGGAGGCACCAGACGGACCUCGAAUUGUGAAAUCCCAGGAGCCCAUCUCCUGGUUCUUGUGGGCAGGCUUAAAACACAAACAAGCCCUCCUGAUUUGUUUUCAUCCUCUUCCCUCUCCUGGGACCGAUUCUGAUUCAGCCCCUCGGAAGUGCCGUCUGUUCUGGCCACUCAGUGCCCUUCAGGCCUGGCUUGUGCUCACGCUGUCGGCCUGGGGCCCACUCCCAGCAUCAGGGCAGCUUGGUUCUUGCAGCCUCUUGAGUGCGGACUCAGCCUCCUCAAAUCCCUGCAAGGCCUCCUGCUUCAGGGCAGCUCUGACGGGGUGGCCCGAGCCGCAUCCUCACCAGCACAUCCUGACGAACCCAGCCAGCCUCCAGACUCCCCUAACCAUUGGCACUCCCUGACAGGGGCCCCAGUCUACCAGAUCAACAGGGAGAUACUAAAAACUCUCAUUCUGAACCAAGUGACUCUCUCUAAAAGAGAACCAAGGCCCCUUCACUCACUUUGGCCCCUACUCUAAGCUUUGGCCUUGGAGGGACAAGUAUGGUUUAUAGAUAUUUUUAGGAACAAUUUCAAAUGUAUACGAAAGCAGAGAGAGAUGCAGAUUAGACUCCCAUGGGCCGUCCCCAGGGCUCAUGGCCAUUCUCGUUUCCCGUCGCCUAGCCUCUGUUUCUGCACUCCAGGUUACUCUGAGGCAAAUCCUGGCUAUCACAUCAUUUCGUUGUAAAUAUUGAGGCACGCAGCUCUAGAAGCGAGGACUCCCCUCUUCAACUAUAGUACCAUCGUCCAUACUUUCUGAGAAUCUCAUCUGGGCCGGGCCCUGCCCCAAAUGCCUCCCAGUUUCUAUACCAACAUUUCUAACCUUGACACUAUGGAAUUUCAAGCCAGACCCUUCUUUGUUGUGAGGGGCCAUUCUGAGCAUUGUAGACUCCCUAGUCUGUACCCCCGGAUGCGAGCAGCAGCCUUUCUUCUCCAAGCUGCGACAACCAAAAAUGUCUGCAGACGUUGCCAAAUGUCCCCUGGGAGGCAAAGCUACCCUUUGGUUGACAGCCGCUGAUCUAUACAACAGCACUGGGCUCUGGGGUCAGAGAAGUGGAUGGCACAGAUAUGGAGAGAGAGCUUCUGGUGAAGACAGAAAGUAAACCAACAAUUACAAGAGGGAUGGAUGAAUGGCAGCAACAACAGUACUAACCACUCAUUACCUUGUGAUGCGCUGGGCAUAUAGAAACUCAUUGGAUCUUCCCCGUGCUGAUUCAAAGGAUUCAUUCCAUCCCUGCUUUACAGAGAGAGCUAGACAAAAAAGUUCUCCAAGUCCCCACUGGACCCAGGAAAUCCAACUGGCUUCACCUCUCAAAAUCACUGGCAGAACUCAGAACUGAACCAACACUAAACACAGGCACGUGACCUGAUGCCUUCCUUCCCACUUGCUCUUCAAGUUGAGGUGCUUACGUGGAGUGAGCCUGACGUUAUGGCUCCAGACAGUGUCAAAACCAUGUCAGCAAUUUUGUGGGGCAGAAAAAGACGAUUGCUCUCACUUUGCCUGUGGCCUAGCGUGUCCUCAGAGACUGUAGCGAAGAUAGCAACACCACGAGGCUCAAGGGGCACCACAUCUCUUGUAUCUGCCAGGCCGAGAGCAGCUGGAGGAAGCGCUUUCCCAGCCAGUCACCGGCCACCAUGGAGACAGACCACAGUGACACAUCUCGCCUGUGGACCGGGGGAGGGGAGCCAGCCCCACCUGCCUACCAGCAGCAGGAAAGAACAUGUCCUGCAAGGAGGGACAGCAGGGCUGCUUGCAGAAGACACUCUUGUGUAUUCAGUGGGUUGUCCCCCAAGGCCAGGUAGGCACCGUCCACAUGUAUCUGGAGGCAUUGCUCAGGACAACCCCAGGAGAGUUGACCUGCAUUGAAUGGAAUUUGAAUGAUGAGAAACAAGCCAGUCCUGCUGGCCACCCCUUCUUCACAACCAUACCUGCCACCUGCUCUUCUAGCUUGCAGGUGACAAGGCCCUAUGGUGAAGACUGGGAAACACACCUACUGUAGCACAACUGUUGUAUUAGUUUCCAGCAGAUCACCCUCAAUAUCCCCACAUACAAUGAAAUCAUCUUUGGUCAUAAUGAAAUGAAAUGAAGUGAAUACUAAUGGCCAGAGAAAAUAGUGGCAGGAUUGAACUUUGUAUAUAUAGUUUUGCCAGUAAAAACUUUUUAAUAAAAGCAAAAUACAUAUUACAGUACAAAAAUUAAAAAGUCAUGGAUUAAUCAUUACCUUAAUGUGUGUGUAUGUUUUUUAAGUGGGGGCAUACACGAAGAAACAAUUCCAAAAGAGUGAACUCCAAAGCUUUAGAGACUGGCUUGCACCCAGACAGACAGAACUGAAGCGAACCCAGUUCACCGUGCUAGCCUCGUUCACUUCCACUCUACUCAUUCAACACGGGAUUACGGCAUAGAUCCAGAGUAGGAGAAACUAACUGCCCCAGAAGUGAGCACCAACAAUUCUGAAUUGUCACCCUUGCAAACGGACUCUUGGAACCAGCCUGCAACUGACUCUGCUUAUGUCCUGUGUAAUUAGAGGUGUUCCAAAUUCACUUCCAUAUAGAAGGCAGUGUUUAUUAAAACAUAAGUAAUAAAAUGUGCACACUUUAA